rnacentral:tRNA from 1 species
GAGGGUAUAGCUCAGUGGUAGAGCACAUGCCUAGCAUGCAUGAGGUCCUGGGUUCCAUGCCCAGCACCUCCA